UAGACUGUUCAUGACACAUAUCACGGUGGACAGUGUUUGUGUCCUUAUUACAAGCAACGAGAGAUGCUCGUCACCAACACGCGCGCGCACAGAUGCACGACAUACAUAUAGUAGAGACCAACAGAUGGUCGUCCCAUAUGGUGAACAAUUUAUUGGAGAUAAAUAUUAACGUAACUUGGCCAUAGCUUGAAGCAUAGCAACAUAUGCCUAUGAGUGGCAUUCAUGCUAUCGUUUUAGGCUUGUCCAGCUCCUUCCAUCUUAGCAAGCACUUCCAUUUCUACCAUCUUAGCAGCAACUGUCAAAUUGAGAUACGGAAAUCCCAUUAGCGCAUGAGUUAAUUUUGCAGUGGAAAUAGAGUACAAGAUGUCUUCAUGAUGUAAGUAAUAUGCCUGAAGUUGUGAGAUGGGAAGUGAAGUCAACAAAUUACAUUAACGGAAAUGCAUGGAAGGCCACACAUACGUAUUAGUCCAUGAUAUGCUACAAAGCUUGUAUGUACAUAUAGCAAAUUAAAUGCAUUAAUUGAAUAGAGUGUGUUUAGUGAAUUUACCAGAAUCGUCCAGAAAACAUGGGAAACAGCAAGUGUUCUUGCAGACUGCGUCGGAGGCACCCGCACGAAUACAAAGCUGACAACAUAGUUUUGCCUGGGCGGAUGCGCAGCAGCCGCACUCCGCCGCGGUGGGGUUAACAUUGAGGCUCAAGAUGACCAGGCACAUGAUCACCAUCAAAGUGGUAGUCCUCUUUCCCUCCAUUGCCUCCUCUUAGCUUGCUGCUACCUUCCUUGGUUACCUAGCUAAGUUUAUUGGUUUUGUGUUGAGAGGUGUGAUUCUUGAAUGGACGUUGCCGGCGGCAAUUUAUAGGCAGCUGAGCUAUGUGAUGAUAUGGACUAGGUGCAAAUGGGUGGUUAAUGGCAAGGAAAGGGGCGUCAGACAAAGCCCAAUGGCAACUGCUGACAUGCGAUUAAAUUCAGAUCCACAUCCGGCCAUUCAAUAAUACGGUUGGAGUUGUGGCACAGAUAUAUUAUUGCAUGAUCAUCAAGAUAAGAUCGUACAGUGACUGAGUGAGACAAUAAAUAGCCAAGUAAACUAUUUUAUCCUGCUGCAAGCUGCAUUCAUAAGUUUAUUUCACCUUUGAUCACAAUACUCUUCACACACGUACGUCUCAGGGAGAUCUCACUUCCGCUGGACUGCUCACUUCCGCUGUCGUCGGUACUGCCAAAGACAUAAGCUCACAUCUGCUAUUGCGGAGCAGGCCAAUUUGCUGCGGAACUUCGGCGACGACCUGAAGGACAUGAACUCGGUGCUGGAGUCCAUCUCAGCAGCGCUCUAGGACGCUGACACCGGUAGAAAAACGACCUUCCAUCGUCAACAAAAAUCCCGGUAGCUUUUUUACUCGGUACUAAAGAGGUUUUAAUCUCGUGCAAACACCUUUAGUCCGGAUUGCUGUUACCACGCAACCCGAACUAAAGCGUCCCCCACGAGUUACUAUAUAAGGAUUGCAUCCUUUACUCAGUCAGAUAUAAUGUGUAGGUGAGAUGGUAAGGAAGCUAUACGUGAGGCUUCAGGUUGUGGGUUCGAAUCCAAGGAGAAGUGGGUGCAGCUGUGGCUUAAGCGGCUGAGGCACGCCGCCAUAGACAUCUCAGAUUUGCUCGAAGACUACCAAGACACUAGUGAACCCUUAACAGUAAAGGUGAGUACUUAUGAAUGUCAGCAUCCAUGUUGUCCAUGCUUCCAAUGUAAUAACAAGAUGGACUACUCUUCCUAGCGGACUCUUCACAACCACUCGUAAAGCUAUACGUUUCUCAAUGCAAUUUCGUAGAAGCCAAUCGAUCCAACCAAGUGACUAAAUCAUUCAUCCUUUCCAAUGAUGUGCAUCAGGUUUUCUACAUGAAGGGCAUCUCUAGCAAACCCAAGAUUUCAGAAGAAAAAGAAAAAUCAUUGGAGCCAAAGAGCCACAUAGUUCUUCCAGGAAAAAAAAAUCAUGGGAGUCGAGAACAAAUCAAACCAAUCAGAGGAUUAUGGUCAGCUUAAUGGCAUGCCUCCAUUCGAUGUCGAAGUUCACCCAAGCAUCAUGUUAGCCAAACAUCAAAUGUUCGUGCGUUGUUACGGUAAAGAUCAAUUGUGUUUUUUAAACUCAUGGAAUUUUUUUUCUAAGUUUUUAUUACACUUAUUGGAUGUCUACACAUUUGCUAGAAAACCAAAAUAAUUUGGACUUAAUUAUUUCUUUCAACUGAAGUACUCACUAAAUUUCUACCUUUUUAUUUAAGCAAGAGAGUUGCUAAAAAAAAUGGAUACAUAACCAUGUUGUAUCGUACAAAGCAACCACAUUUCACAUAUAGUCCGGCUUACCAAACACCAUUUUUUACUGAACAUAGCGUACAUGAGUUAAGAGACAUGGAUUUAUUUCUAUUGCAAGUAGCAUAGCGUACAACCUGCCUGCACCGAUGCAGCUCAAUAUGCGAUAAUUUUUAUCUUCCCAUGUAAUUUUUCUACUCUAGUACAUAUUGAACUCCACAUUAAUGUCAUGUUCUUUGGCGCCCCAGACGGUUCCUAAAGUUUGGAAACAAAAUAGAUAGCCAGAAAUUUUUUUAAAAAAUAUUUAUAUGGAUAUUUGUAUGUUCUUUGCAAACUAACAAUAUUGUUUACCAAUAUCAAAAGGAAUAUGGCUAGGAGCCAUUGCCGCAUAUGGCAGGUGAUGGUAGAUGGCGUAUGGGAUUUCGUUAAUUUAAUGGUAUAAUAAGCUGAAAUACAUUUUCUAUUUGCAAAUGAAUCAUAGCUGAAAGUGGUGAGAUUGUUUUUUCGCCGGUUUAGCAUCCUGUGCACCGGUUCAACUGGAGGGAAGCGGUUCACCGAGACGGAUGACAAUUUUACGGCAGAAUCAUUACUUGUUUUAUUAUUAGGUGAAGAUUUUAGCUUUUAGGUAUCUCACAUUAACAAUCUGUUUCUAGUGUAUAAUGUAGGAGACCCGUAAAGAGUCUACACACACAUAUAUAUGUUGACUAUGAAUGUAAGUUUGUUGGUUUUAUGUAUGUUCAUUUGGAGUUUAUAUAAAUUUUACAUUUUAUAGUUUUGUGUAUAUGACGAAGAUCCAUGACUUGCAUUAAUUUAACCUUUCUUCCAACAACUCUUAUGCAUGCUGUUUCUAGGGGAGCGCACUGGUUGCAAUUUUGGUCCCCGAUAUAGCAUGAGGACUUAAGGGAGACGGGCACGUCGUAACCUUAGAUAUUUUUGCAAGAAGCAAAUUAUACUUUGCUUUUGAUUUUCUCCAUGCCAUUUGCUGACUCUUAUCCCUUUUAUUUAUCAUUAUAAGAUGAAAAUAUUGUAAAAACUUGGUUACGUGCGGUCGCAGAAGCUAGAGACUAUUUCUUUUUUUAAAAAUACGCAAGAGGGAGAAACUUGGUAACAGCUAGACAGUGAAGAUCGCAUUUCAUAAGAAAGAUGGUGCACGUUCUUGUUUGGCUGUUAACGAAAUGACUUCGUUUCACCACACCACCAGAGAGCCCCAUUGCACUUGCAGCAAAAGCGUGGAGCCGCUUUCAACCAGCGUGCAAUAAUGCAGUCCCGCGUGUCUUGGUCUUACAGGAUAUUUGGUUCUUUAGUCCGGACUAAAAUUCAUGUCGCAUAGAAUAUUCAGAUGUUAAAUAGGAGGACUAAACAUGAGCUAAUUAUAAAAAUAAUUACACAAAUGGAGGCUAAUUCCCAAGACAAAUCUAUUAAGUCUAAUUAAUCCAUCAUUAGCACAUGUUUACCGUAGCACCGUAUUGUCAAAUCAUGGACUAAUUAGGCUUAAUAAAUUCGUCUCGCAAGUUAGUCUCCAUCUAUACAAUUUGUUUUAUAAUUAGUCAAUGUUUAAUACUCUAUCUAAACAUUCAAUGUGACUGAAAUUUUAGGAGGUCCUAAAGAACCAAACACCCCUUAGUCUCCGCCUGAACUAUAGCAGGUGCUGGCAGCGGUAGCAGGGUCGUCCAUUAUAUCUAUGGAUGGAAAUGAUCUGAUUCGGAUGGAAUCGAAUUCGAAUAGCACUUUUUACCACAUACUAAUCUGAAUUGGAUGUUCUCGAAUGUGAAUGCAAAACGGAUAGUUCAAAUUUGAAUACUUUGCGGAUUUUUGCAUAAUAUUAAUCGAAGAGAAUUUGUUAAAUUUAGCCGAGACAUAAAUUUUUCUAAAUUCAAAUACUUUGCAGAUUUUCGAAUGCAAAUUUUUUCAUACGAUCUCGGUUGAAUACAAACUUUAUAUCAAAGUUGUAUAUUUAGAUUAUAUAUAAAACUUUGUAGUUGACCUCCUUUUCAUUUAAAAUUUUUUAAUAGCUCAAAACAUUAUUCUAAGCUUUCUAAUUUCAAAAUCUUGAAUUUUAAAUUUUUCAAACGACCUCGGAUGCAAACAAGCUCUAUAUCAAAGUGCUUAAUGAGAUAUAAAAUUUUGUAGUUGACAAGUUUUUUAGUUGAAAACAUUUAGUUAUCACAAACAUACAAGUUCUUCAUUUGAUGUCGAGGAUUGGAAGUGUUGAGUUUGAAGAAUAUAUUCUUUGAUUACAAACUUUUCCAUAUGAUCUUGGAUGAAUACGAACUUUAUUUCAAAGUUGCAAAUUUAGAUUAGACCAAAAACAGUAUAGUUUACAAUUUUUUCAUUCAAAAUUAUUUAGUAGCUCAAAAUGUUAUUCUAAACUCUCUAAUUUUGAAAUCUUGAAUUUUAAAAUUUUCAAAUGACCUCGGAUGCAAACAAGCUCUAUAUCGAAGUGGUAGUUCUUAAUGAGAUAUAAAAUUUUGUAGUUCCAUCUGAGAUCAUUUAACAGUCACAAAUAUACAAGUUUUUCAUAUGAUGCUAAGGAUCAGAAAGAUUAAGUUUGAAGGCUGUAUUUUUUUAAUACAAAUUUUUGCAUACGAUCUCGGAUGAAUACAAACUUUAUAUCAAAAUUGUAGAGCUCGAUGAGAAUUUAAACUUUGUAGUUGAUAUAUUUUUCAUUCGAGAAUGUUUAGUGGUCCAAACAUGUAUUAUAAGUUCAGAGAAGAAACACACAAUCGGCCACGUCAUCAAUUGACAACUUCCAAACUGAGCAUUCCUAUUGGUUCACACCUUUCCCUUUCAACUCGUCAAGCUUAUCUCCUCCCACUCCUCCAUCGUUCACUCCCCCUUCCCCUUCCUCUCUCCCUCCCUCCCUCCGCUCCAGCAGUGGCAGCCCGACCUGCCUCCUAGGACGGUGGUGUGCGGGGCUCGGGCAUCCCUGGCCUCUAGUGGCGUGGCAGGGCGGCCUCCAGCAGCGAUGGCGGAACUCGGCCUCCGGUGGCGCACAGGCAGCGCAGCCUACCUGGUCAAAGGCGGCGCAACAGGGCGACCUCCCCAGCCUCCGGCGGCGCGCAGGGCAUCCAUGACCUCCCCGGCCUCCCUUGCCAGAGGUGGUGCGCGGGGCUGCGCCGACCUCCCCAACCAGAGGUGGCAAGGCCCCAGCUUACGGCGGCGCGUGGCUCCCCAGCUAGGGUGUGGUGGGGCGGCGGCAAGUCAGGCGUGGCCGCGUGGGGGUGGGGGGAGGGGGUUGGGCUGGGCGGAUUCAGAUAGUAUCCAUUUAACCAUCCGAAAUGUGGAUAUCCGUUUAACAAUCCGUUUAGCAAAACCGAAUUUGGAUACUUCCACUUAAGUAUCCAACUAGGAUUCGAAUGCGGAUGGUCCUACCAUAUUGUUAUUUCAGCGGAUACGAAUAUGGGAUAAUUCGAAUAACGACUUACCCAUCCCUGAUUAUAUCCGUGUAAAUAAAUAAUUGCGGCAGCAGGUUCCCGUCGCCACGCCCCCGUCAAACCAAACAAUUGCUUGCGCGACACCGUGUUACUAGAUCUUGUACAGUACUCCCUCCGUUGCAGUACUCCCUAAUGAAAGUUGAGAAUCGAUCGACAACCACGGCUAGUUGCUAUGCACUCGAUCAGAUGGUCCAGGCGCCCGCUGGUAAUCAGGUCGUGGUUCACGCGCAUCAGGCCAGCUAUGACGUUGCCAGCAGUGCUCAGUACACAAAUCUAGCUAUCAGUCGGAUCCAAUUGGGCAGGCAUUUGCACUGUGGUUGUGUUUGAACCUGUAGAUGUCGUUGUCAUUAUCAGGCACCAUACAUCCUCUCUCAGAGGGUGUUUCACCCCCUAAACUUUAGCCCCUCUCACAUCGAAUGUUUUAGAUACUAAUUAGGAAUAUUAAACAUAGAAAAUUUACUAAACCCAUUACAUGGAUGGAGGGUAAACGGCGAGACAAAUCUAUUAAAUCUAAUUAGUCCAUGAUUUGACAAUGUGCUGCUAUAGUAACUAUUUGCUAAUGAUGGAUUAAUUAGACUUAAUAGAUUUUUCUUGCUGUUUAGCCUCCGUCUGUGCAAUUAGUUUUAUAAUUAAUUCAUAUUUAGUCCUCCUAAUUAGUCUCCGAAUAUUUGAUGUGACACGGACUAAACUUUAGAUAGCACACCAGGGACCGACACCAUGCAUGCUGAUUUCAUAUCAUAAUUAAGGAAAGUGAUAUCAUAAUUAAGGAAAGUGGUAGCAUCCAAGAAAUCGAUCAUGUUUCUUCCCCCUUUGGCUUUCCUACUAGGAUUUGGAUAGCGGGCCUUCCUACUAGGAUUUGGAAUCCGCUAUCGCAUGACUAUCUUAAUUAUGUCCCAUAGUCCAAAACUCACAAAACAUCAAAAAUCCAUCGAGAAUAAAUUAAGUAAAAAACAUGCGCACACAGAUAAUAAUAAUAAUAAUCAUGUUUCAAUAAAAUUGCUAAGAUUAGAGAUAGUACAUAAACAUAUUAGAUUGUUCGUGACACAUAUCAUGGUGGAUAGUGUCUGUGUCCUUAUUACAAGCAGCGAUAGAUGCUUGUCACCACACACACGCACGCACAGAUGCACGACAUACAUAUAGUUGAGACCAACGGAUGGACGUCCCAUAGGGUGAAUAAUUUAUUGGAGAUAAAUAUUAACAUAACUUGGCCAUAGCUUGAAGCAUAGCAACAUAUGCUUAUGAAUGGCAUUCAUGCGGGUAGCAAUGCUAUCAUAUGCUUUUAGGCUUGUCCUUAGCUUCUUCCAUCUUAUAGCAAACACUGCCAUUUCUUCCAUCUUAGCAGCAACUGUCAAAUUAAUUGAGAUAUGGAAAUCCCAUUAGCGCAUGAGUUAAUUUUGCAGUGGAAAUAGAGUAGAAGAUGUCUUCAUAAUGUAAGUAAUAUGACUCUGACAUAGGGAGUGAAGUCAACAAAUUACAUUAACGGAAAUGCAUGGAAGGCCACGCAUAUGUAUUAGUCCGAUAUGCUACAAAGCUUGUAUGUACAUAUAAUAAAUUAAAUGCAUUGAAUAGAGUGAUUUUAGUGAAUUUACCUAAAUCGGAUUAAAAAACAUGGGAAACAACAAGUGUUCUUGUAGGGCUUUGUUUAGUUCCCAAAUUGGGAGUAGCAAAGUUUGCAUUUUACCAUAAAUGCGCAACUAUAGCAUGUAGCAUUUUGUUUGUAUUUGUGAAUUAUUAUCCAAACAUUGACUAAUUAGGCUCAAAAGAUUCAUCUCGCAAAGUACAACAAAACUGUGCAAUUAGUUUUUGAUUUCGUCUACAUUUAGUACUCCGUGCAUGUACCGCAAGUUUGAUGUGAUGGGGAAUCUUGCUUUUCAAUAGUGACAAAGUUGGGAUUUCGGGGGGAAGGCCUGUGUCGGAGCCACAUGCAAGAAUGGCUGACAUUGAGGCUCAGACAAAGCCCAAUGGCAACUGCUGACAUGCGAUUAAAUUUAGAUAUCCACAUCCAGCCAUUCACAUUUAUGAGAUAUGGACACGGUGCAAAUGGGUGGGGUCCUGAUAUGGAGGUGCGAAUGGCUGUCUACUUGUAUAGUGUAGCUCCAAUGUACGUAUAUGUAUCUUAUGCAUGUAUACAGUUGCACAAACUCUGAACCAACUCUUCAUAACAGGUCUUUGUUACCAAGUAACUUUACUUUUGCACGUUUCAGCCGAGAGGUAGAAGAGAAUAUUUUUGCAUUUUCCAUGUGCGUCAGUGGUAGAGAACUAGGAAUUAGUUCCGGAUGGUAGGGCACAAAUCUUCCAAACAACUAUCCGAAAUUAAGCAAUCGAGAUAAAGGGUGCCAUCUAUUCUCUCCGAAAAACACAGGUACCAAAAAGAAGAAGAGAAGAGGGAGGGCCUCCCGUUAAGGCCCGCUCGGGGUCUCCAUCCCACCACGCGCCCUCCCAACCCAAAGCCCAUCGUUUUCCCUCCGUCCCUCCCCUCUCCAUUGCCGCCGCCGCUCCCCUCAUCCGAGCUCGAUACGGGUGGUCGGCGGCCCCUCCUCUCCGCUCCCGCCCCCGGCCUCCCUUUGACCGCCGGGCGCCGGCAUCACUGCCGCGGCCAACCCCAGGGCGCAGCGCGUGCCUCUAUUUCUCUCCCCCGUUCAAGGGCCCUUUGAUGGCGACGAGCACCCACCCACCAGGUAUGCCCUCCCCUUCUCUUCCUAACCCUAAUAUAUUCGGAUCUCACCCAGUCACAAUAUAUUACCUAAUAGCUUCGAUUUUGUUUGCAAAAAUCAUCACGUGCGCACCCAUGUCCGCUAGAUUCUUGCGCCUGAUCCUGUGCUGCUAUGGUUUGGGCGGGGUAGACUAGUUGAUUCGUGCACUUUUGGGUGCUUGUAGUGCUAGGUUUUGGAGGGGGAUAGCCCAGUUGAUUCCUCCGUUUUGGGUGCUCAUGGUGAUAGGAUUUGGAUGGGGAUAGCCCCAAUGAUUCGUGCGCCUUUGGGUGCUGGGGAUAGUUUUGGGUGCCUGGAUAGUCCAGUUUCAAUGUCAGUAUAUGCGUAUUUUGGGGAGAAUUUUGUUUUGGGUGGUUCUGGUGCUAGAGUUUCUGAUGCUUAGUAGCCCAGUUUCAAUCAAAUUCCCCCAUGGGUCGUGCACUACGGGAAACAAGAAAAUUGCCGAGUGUAUUUUUUUUGUCGAGUGUUUUUUUUCGAGCACUCAGCAAACAAGCUCUUCGCCGAGUGCCAAGUCAAAAACACUCGGCAAAAAAAAACACUCGGCAAAUCGGGGCUUUGCCGAGUGUCAAAUAAAAAACACUCGGCAAAGAAGGGGGUUUGCCGAGUGUUAAAAAAAACACUCGGCAAACAGGAGGGUUUGCCUAGUGUUUUUUUGACACUCGGCAAAAAAAUAAUUGUUUUUCCUCUUUUCACCUUGAAAUUUUUUCUACUCCCCACAUACAACACGUGGUACUCCAUGUUAAAAUUUGGUAUAUUUUUGGAUUUAUUUGCUAUAUUUAUUUAAUUAAUUGCAUUACAAGGAAAUUUUUGGUAUAAGUCAAAUUUGAACUGCAAGUGAUUCAAAUUGUGGAACAAAAUGAGUAGAAAAAUGAUAUUCAUGUUAUUUGGCUCAAUUUGAGACCUGACCCAUGAAAUGAAAAGAAAUUUCGAACAUCUUGUUCAGGAAACACGACAAUGAACAUGUGGCGGUAGUAUUUUUAAAUUGUAAAAAAAACAAGCAAAGUCUGAAAAUCAUGAGAUUUGUAGUUAUGUGAUGAUAUAAUACGUGGAAGCUGUGGAAAAAAAUUGGAAAGGUUUUGCACAUUUCAUCAUGUACGAUGAUUACAAACCGAAGCAUAUCAGAAGAAGAAUAGUAACUUUGAGAAGGAUUCGAUAAAAUUUAGAGUCGAAGUGACGGUCGAGUUCGGUUUGACUACAAAACUUUUUGUAUAGUCAGUAGAGAACAUAUCUUAUUUCGUGUGAAAAUUUGGUAUUUUUUGAAACUGUUGGAUAUUUUUAAUUUUUUUUUAAAAAAACUUUGCCGAGUGUCCUAGGGUAGACACUCGGCAAAGAAAAACUUUACCGAGUGCCCGCCUAGGACACUCAGCGAACCUUUUUUUAAACCUACCGGCUCCGGCCGGCCCAGCCCACAAACACCACCCGCCCCCCGCCCCCGCGCCUUCUUCCUCACGCCGCCCCCGCCCCCCACCCGUGCCUCCGGACCGCCCCCUCCUCCCCCUGGCCUCCCCUCACGCCGCCCCCCUCCUCCCCUAGCUCCCUCCACCGGCGGCCCUCCCUCCCCCGGCGCACAUCCUCCACUCCUCCUCCCCUUCCCUUCCCUCCCCUCCCCUCCCCUCUUCCUCCCCUGGCCGGAUCUGGCGCCCCUAGCUCCCCUUUCUUCCGCGGCCAGAUCUGGCGCCCUCCCGGCGGCGGGUCGUGGCGAUCGGGGCGGCGGCGGCGGAUCAGGCCGCGGGGCGGCGGCGGCGGCGGGUCGUGGCUACCGGGGCGGCGCCCUGCCCCUCCCCUCCCUCUCCAUCUCCGGCUGCCGUCCACCCCCUCCCCGGAUCCGCCCCCCUCCCCUCCGCGCGGCCAGCCCCUCCUCCCUCUCCGGCCGCCGCCCCGGCCCCUCCUCUCCCUUUCUCCGGCCACCGCCCCGCCCAUCUUCUCUGGAUCCGGCCGGAUCCGGCCGCCGCACAGCCCCUCCUCCCCGGAUCCGGUGGGCGCGGACUUCGUGGUGGUGGCGCCGGAUCCCUCCCCUCCCUCUCCAGAUAACUCCCUCCACUCCUCCGCUCUUCCCCUCUCUCGCGCGGCGGCCUCUCUCCGGCCGCCGCCCCGCCCCUCUCCCCGGAUCCGGGGGGGGGGGGACUCCGCCCCUCUGCCCCGGAUCCAGCUCCCCGACCCGCGAGUGGGGCGAGCUUGCUCAUGCGGUCGACGUCGAGGCCAGGGUGUGGUGGAGGUGGUGGCCGGCGGGUGUGGUGGUGGUGGCGGCGGCGGGCAUGGCGGCGCGGAGGCAAGGCACGGCGGCCGGUGGGAGGCACGGGUGCAAGGCGUCGACGGCAGGAGGCAAGGCACGGCAGCAUGGGAGGUGGUGCUGUGGUGGUGGUGCUGGCGGUGGUGGCGGCGGCGGAGCAGGAUGUGGUGGUGGCGGAGGAUGUUUUUUUUUCAAAAAUUUGUUGCCGAGUGUUUUCUCGGCACUCGGCAAAGACUUUACCGAGUGCCCGACACAAAACACUCGGCAACUCAGUGUUUGCCGACUGAAAAAUUGCCGUGUGCCGUUUGCCGAGUGUUACACUCGGCAAACGGUUCGCCGAGGGUUUUUUGCCCUUCGCCGAGUGCCCCUAGCACUCGGCAAUUUCACUAUCUCCCGUAGUGGUGGCUGGACUUAUGGGGGGAUCAUUGAUGGGGGACUAGUUGGAUACUUUUUGGCUGUUUUGGGAGUCCUUGGCAGCGGCUUCUCAGGGCGUACGUAGCCCAUUGUAGAUUCCAGCCGAGAAGAUUAAGGAAUUGUGACUGCAACCAUGUUACUUUUCUAGGACUCUGUUUCUGAUAUUGUUCCCGCUGCAUCUUUUCAUCCCCAUGGUGAAUGUUGCUGUUGAUCUGUAGAUUGGAUUUGUUCCUCGGUAGCUUUAUUAGAUUUGUGCUGAAUGAUAAUCUCUGCCUGUGAUAUUUUUCUUCAUUGCGGAUGUGUGCCGAGUAUUAUCCCCUUUGUUCAUUCUGUUGGCUUUUUUUAUUGUCUCUGUACUCGGCUGUUCAGCUUGUGCAGCUAAUGAUCUAAUGUAUUUUGUCGUAACUAUGUAUUUUUCGGAUGUGUGCCGAGUAUUAUCCCCUUUGUUUAUUCUGUUGGCUUGCUUUCAUUGAUCUUAAGAUAACUGGUGCUAUAAAUUCACACUAGCUGAUGCACUUGCAAAUAGCUAUGUAAAUAUGAAAAGAAGUAUUUUUUUAUCCUUUUGUUUGUUUGGCAUCAUAUCUGUUUAAAUGGCAUAGCAAUAAGAAUUUUUUGUUUUUGGGGAAUCAUAUCUGCUUAAAUGGUAUAGAAAAUGCUGAGUGCACUGUCAAAUAGAUUUUCCAGCAGUCUGCUUUCAGUUGUUUUUGCAAAUCCUCACAGGCCAGUGAACUGACUUUGUUUUUACCACCCCAUGCCAUUUAAAUGACUAAAUCAGUCAGCCUAAUACUAUAUAUGGUCAUGCUAUGAUCUUAUUUCUUGAAGCUCUAUAGGUCAACCCAUAAGGGUAACUUAGUUUUUCCUAUUCUGGCUGGGGAAGUGGAUACGAUGGCUAUCCUUGGUAGAGUUAAAUACAUUGGCGGCUCUUAGCGCGCCAAUGUGGCACCACAAUAUCGAACAUAUGUAGAAACCCCCUUGUUUUUUCUCAUAUCCCUCUCUCUCAGCGUCCUCUUCUCUUCUUCUCCUCUGUCUCCUCCCCUCCCAUCGCGUGCUUUAUUGCGCCGCCGCCAUCCGCCUCCAUGUAUGAACACGUCGUUUGUCAUGAAGAAGCAGUUGAUGAGGCAAUCAAGCAUGUGGUGCACAAGGUUCUUCUGCUGGCCAAGUCCGAGUCGAACAGCCGCGCAUUCAUUGGGGAAGCACGCGCCAGGCAUCACCAGGCUCCUCGUGCCCCUACUCUGCUCCAAGGACUCGGUGCUUCGACGCGCUGCUUUCCCUGUCCGGCGAGCGGGGAUCGUUGGGAGAUGAUCGAUGGAGGAUGGAGCUGAUCCUCCUGUACACGGUGCCGGUGGGGAGCAGGGAGCUGCGGAGCAGGUCCACGGGCGGCGCCAUUACAGCAGGUGCAGGCUAAGGGUAAUGAGCAGAUCGAGGCGAUGGAGGAGGACCCGCACGAGGUGCAGCUUCUUCGCCUCCUGCGCAAAGUCAGCGCCCAAGCAGCCGCUGAGGGACAGGCCGAGGCUUAGCUCGAUCUCAUCCGACUAAAUGGUGGCUGCACUCCCACAGUCCCACUGGUGCUCCUCCCUUCUGUCCGAACCUGCCGAGGAAAUCCCUCGAUGCCAUGGGUCCCGGCUGGACGACUACUCCUCCCACAGAUUGACUGAGGAAGAAGAGCUUCUCAGUGUCCAAAAAUUCAGUUACACUGGAAACAGCAACCAAUUACGUUCUUCCGGCUCAGCCAAGCCCCAAUCUCCUUGCUUCUGUGCGCCCCUGCUAAAUAUUCCAGAAACCAAUCUGGUUAGUUGUUUUUUCACAUUUUCAGUGCAUGCCGGUGCUGCUGUGUGCGGCAUGCAUGGAGUUGUCGUGGGAGUGCACGGUGGCUUAGCUGGUGCGCCAGUGCGCGGGCACGAACACAACGGUGAAGAUGGCAGGGCCAUCUCAAAGCUCCUGAGCACCUGCACGCGUCGCUGAGCAGGACAUGCUGCGACGGUGGGCGAGCGCUGCUAACGCCCUGGGGAAGAGCAGUGGGUGCAGAGAGAGGGAGCGAGGGAGAGGGGUUCUUGUAUAUGUUUGCUAGCGUGGCACCGUUUACGGUGCCCGCCUAAGUGGCAUUCACGUGUCAUUCAUCCCAAAUGGUGUUGCAAGGUUGAACCUAUUGUGGGAGGCUUUUGGUUUCCCUUGACAGUAUCACCAGUGAUAUCACUGCGUUCUGGUUAUGUAUGAAACACUUGUCCUUUUAAAACCUUUCUGAAUUUAGAAACGAAUUUGAAACAUUACCCUCAUUUCCAUGUUUUUCUAUCUUUUGUCCCUGUAAAAUCAAACUAAAUUUGAAUUAUUAUGUUCAGAACUACAAGCUGAUUUACUUGUCCCAUUUGCUAAUAACAGGGCCUUGUGAUUUCUAAUGAACAUUGCAGAGCAUGUUAUAAAGCGUAUGCAUGAACACCAAGGGGAUGAAACCAUUGGUAUAUUUCUCACAACCUUUUGAACUUAUCAUUUAGCAUAUUUGUGUUCUAGUGUGACGUUUCAGCCACGAGACAUGAGAAAUGUUAGCUAUGGAUUUUGGUUAUUCAUCAUGGGUUCACAGAUUUGUUUUUCUCUAAAAGAAUUGGGAAGUAGCUUUCUUUCUGGGUAUAUGUGGGGAAAUGCAUAUGCAAUCUUUUAUUUAUUGAGGUGACUGUAAAAUUCUUGUCUGACUGAAUAUGCGAUUUCAACCUACAUGCUAUACUUAGGGAAAUUUGUGAAUCUCCUAAUGUCUGCUGCAUGGCAUGAAUGCAUAUUUUACUGGUCCAUAAUGUGAAGUUCUGUAUAUAAACUUCUCGUGUUGACCCUUUAGAACAUGCUAACUGGAGAGUUUUCUAGAGUAGUUAAACAAGAGAUUUAGUUAAAUCUGCACACAUAGGUGGGGCCUGGCAUACCCUAAGAAUCGGCCUAGCCGGUCAGCCCAUUAGUAAAAAAAAAAGCACCGCAGUCAGCAGUCCCCACGUUGGUCUUCCUCGAGUCGCGACUCGCGAAGCUCCCAUCCUCCGAGUCCAAGAUGGUGGACUGUGUCGAGCGCGGGGCGGGCGAUUAGUUGCCCGGCCGCCGGCGGGGGAUGGCCGGACGGCCAGAUCGCCGACUCCUCUAGUCCUCCCUCCAGCCUCUGCGCUUCUUUCACAGUGGAGCUAGCGGCGAGGCGCCCGACCGACACCCUUCUUCCCAAAUCCCGGCAGCCCUACCUCGAUUUGGCCUCCUCCGAUCAUUUGAUAAUCAAUUUGAUGAAAUUAAUAUGGAGUUGCUUUCUUGUAUGGUUGCCUUCAAUCCUGCUAAUUCAUUUGCUUCAUUUGAUGCACAAAAGAUACAUAGACUUGCUAUAUUUUUAUCCACAAGACAUCACAAGCACGGAUUUGCUAAAACUUGAAUUCCAGCUCGAUAUUAUAUUGAUGAUGUGAGAUAGGAUGAUAGUUUCAAAGGCCUACAAGAUCUUGUUAACUGAGACUCAGUUAAGCUUGUUGAAACAAACAGGCAUAAUAUUUAUGACUUGGUUUACUUGCUUCUCAAAUUGGUAUUGGUUCUUCUUGUGGCGACAGCUAGUGUUGAAAGGGAUUUUUGUGCAAUGACUUUGAUCAAGAGUAAGCUAAGAAAUAAGAUGGGUGAUAGUCUUUUGGAUGAUUGUCUUAUCACAUUCAUUGAGAAAGAUAUUUUCUUUGAAGUGGAUGAAGAAGAUAUAAUUAAGACUUCAUAUCCAUUAGAAAUCGUAGGCUGGAGAAGAAGUAAUAUUUUAAUUUUCUUUGAACGUUAGGUCUGUAAGCUUCUUUUAAACUAUCUACAUUAUAAUUUAUGGACCUUUUAAUUUAACCGUUGAAUUCAUGAUAUUAUGAGAUUUUUUUAUCUAUGUUAUUAUUGUUUACCGAUUUAUUACCAAAUUAUUAGUUUGAUCUUACAAUAUUGUAUUUUGGAUGAUUGGCUCGGCAUACUCUAAGUUUAAAUCCUAGCUCCGCCACUGUUUGCACAUUAAUGUGGCUUAUAUGUGUGGAGUCACUUAACCUAUGCACUUGGACCUCCACUCCCUUAGGUUUUAUGAACCUAAUUUGACAGCCUGCUCGUCUUUUAUUUUCUACCAAUCAGCUAGGAACGAACAUGGUGAUGUUUGCAUCUCUGCCAUCAAUGGCUUACAUGUCAUUAUGUAUCACAUUAGCAAGUCUUGUUUUGUUAUUGGCUGGGAUGACGGGGACUCUAGCUGGAAUUGAAUCAAAGUGGUAGAUCACAGGGUAUUCAUUGCCAUGUAUUUCUGCAGUUGCAUGGACUUGCAUCAAACGGACCUUCCUACUUAUGUGAUUGUCCUAUAUGAUCUCCUUUGAUUUCAUUUGCACACUGUAAUCACAUUAGCUAGAACACUCGCUUUUUGCUUCAAAUUUGAAAUUCAUAUCAUGAUGGACUAGAACGCUGAAUUUCUUGAUUGCUGAGUUACUAAUCACAUUGUGGCGCUGCCAAAGAAGCUGGACUCUUCAUUGUUGUUGCCUUGUGGGCUGCCGUGUGCAAAGAACAAGAGCGCACGGUAUUAUAAUAGCAGAGCAGAACACAGACAAGCGACAAGGAGCGGAGCAGAGCAGAGCACAGCCAGGCACAAGCAGUAGAGUAGAGCAGAGCAACCGGGAGAGGAGAGGGCACAUAUGCAGAGUAGAGCAGAGCCAAGCGCAAGCAUUCAUGCACUCAAGCAUGCAGCAGAGGUGUAGCAAGGCAAGCACAAGCAGCAGAGCAGAGGGAAGGGAAGGCUGGGAGAUGAAUAGGCGAAUAGUUACCUGGACAGAGCAGAGGGAAUGGAGAUGAUGCAGAUGCUUCCGGAGACUCGAGAUUUGGAGAGGAACAAGGCCACGUUGUGAACAAGGUCUCCUUUCUCUUCUCUAUUUCCCGCGCAAGUACUUGUGCAUAGUGGCUGCCUCAUCCUCCAGGACGUCCACUUCAACCUGAGGCGGGUGCCACAGACAUCCUGGCUAUGCGACGGCUACCCCCAGCACACCCCCGGCGCCUAUGAACCAUGAUCCUAAUACUAUAAAUUGUCAACCUUGUAAUCUUAUUUCAAGCAUGCUCUCUAUGUCAACCUGUAAGGUUAACUUCGUUUUUCCUUUUCUGGGUAGGGGAGUGGAUAUUGCUGUUAUUUAUAUUAUGUUGAUAUUGGUUUCCACAUGUCAUUCACCCCAAAUGUGUUGCAAGGUUGAACCUAUCAUCGGAGGAAUUUUUUUCCCUUUACCUUUAUAUCACUACGCUCUGGUUAUGUAUGAAACACUUGUCUUCUUAAAAACCUUAAUUUAGAAACAAAUUUGAAACACUAUCUUCAUUUACAUCCUGUAUGUGUUUUCUACCUUUUGUCCUAUAUGAUCUGCUUUGAUUUGAUUUGUGCAUAGUUUUUUCAAUUCAGACCUGGUGAUUUCUGAGGUUCAUGUUGUGCUGAUAAGCAGCCUACUAUUCAGUAACACUUUCAUGUGGCAUGUUCAUGUUAGCUAGCUAGAAACACUGCUUUUAGCUUCAAAAUUCAAAUUCAUGACAUGAUGGACAUUGACAAUGAAUUUCUUGAUUGCCGAGCUAUGUACACUGUAAUUCAGACCUGGUGCUUUUAGUUUUUUUCUUGAUUGCCGAGCUAGAAACACUGUGCUUUUAGUUUUUUCAAUUCAGACCUGGUGAUUUCGGUUUUUUCAAUUCAGACCUGGUGAUUUCUGAGGUUCACGUGUCACACCGAUUUUAAGAACAAAAUCGAGUGCAUUAAAUAUACAUGUACGCUAGGAUCAGGUUACACACAUGUACGACAUAAGCGAAUAUCAAAGACAAUGCCAUAACGAAAUAAAGAGAGUAUUAAUCAUUAUUACAUGACCGAAAGUCUCAAAUAAACCACAAAAUCUAUUUAUUACAUAGCGGAACUUCUAAGAUAGCAACGUCUCCACAGGCAGCUGACUGAAGAACUGUAUGCCUAGAACUCUUCAAAAUCGUGCAGGUACUCCUCCAGAUUAGCUUGGUAUGAACAACGGUUUUGCAAGGGUGAGUACACUUAUGGUUGGUACUUAAUAAGUCGUGGGAAACAAUGUAGUGUAAGGCAAAUCAAGGUAUGGCUAAGGCUUAAACAGCAUCAGCUUUUAAUUUAGUUGGUCAAAUUUUAUUAGCAAUUAAUUAGACGUAAAUUUAUACCACCCGAAAUUAAACAAGAACAUGAAUAAAAUAAUAACAUAACCAUAAAUGAAAUGACAACAAUUUAAAUCCAUCUUUUCAUAGCAUUAUCAUGUGAGGGUCCAGUCCGUUCUUAACCGUGAGCACCGCUGAUCGAUCAGUUUUACACUCUGCAGAGGUUGUACAUCUUUACCCACAAGUCGCGUAAAAGUUCAAAAGAAUUUUGGACCCAACCAUGCGGUAUUUGCAAGGCACCAUACCACACUUCCAAGGUGUGAUUGCAUAUGAACGCUACGAGGCCUUUACAAAGAUUCAUUAGUAAGUGGUAACCCGCUAAGGUUUCGGUAUUUGGCGUGCACAACCUAUCACAGGCCGCUAAUGCAACGACUCAGUCCCCCCUCUUGCCUCAUCACGAGUAAGAUUACCCCAGACUAAGGUUUCUAAUUAUUCAGCCAAGAUCAGAACCAUUUAGUCUUGUGGUAGCACUGUUUUCCUGGGUGGUUCUCCAUGUUCCGAUUAAACAUAAUGGUCUUGUAUUAAUGGAAGGUAUAACAUAAAUAAUACCAAAUUAAUAAUAAUUCAGAUUAAAUCACCAUAACCAUAUUUGAGCACUAAGCAUGAGCUACCCAACAUAAAUUUAACCCGGUUGGUCAAGGCAAGGUAGAUAAAGUCUAGGAAAUUCUUAAUUGGGACCCAUCAAGUUUAAAUUAUACUUUGCAUGGUAUGUUGCAUAGAACAUGAAAGUAAAUGUGAAUAGGACUGAAAAGGAGUGAUUAGGGACACGACUUGCCUUUUUAACCUUGUUCUUGCUGUUCGUACUCUUCGAAAACUUUGAUCUUCAAAUCCCUUGAACUGCUGACCGUCUACACGCGUCACACGACCACAUACAAGCAAACAAAUAUAAUACAUAAGAAAACAGUACACCAAUCAUAAUUAAAUAGAAGAAACAAAUUUGAAAAGCUAUUCUACGCAUUAAAACGAAAACACGGAUACAAGGAACGUUAAAAACGGAGCUACAGUGCAAAAACUACGCUUAAAACAAGAUGCAGGGGUAUAACUACGAGAAACCAAACUUCCAGGGAUUUAAUUUUAAAUAAUUUUGAACUGCAGAAGGGGCAGCAGGGCAAAACGUAGAAAAUGCAGGGGCUUAAGCGCAAAAGCAUGGCUGCUGACUCAGCUGACUUGAUGUGGAUCGUCGGAUGGCGAUCCGGCGGCCGGCAGCUGCUGCGCUGACGUCAGCGACGGCGAGCGCCGGCGAAAAACGGCAGUUCGCCGGAAUCGCCCGGGAACGCGCGACUGGGUGCAGAUUUGAGCGAGGAUUAGACUAGCAGAUAGAAACGAGCGCAGUGAACUCAUUUGGGAUGCCUACGGCGAGGACUUGGCGACGGCAUCGGCUCCGGCGAGAACUUGCGGCAGGGAAACCAAAUAAAAUAAAAUAACACGGUUCAGAGAAGCGGCGCUGGAGGAACGCGAGCGAUUUUGCGUGCGAGCGGAAGAAAACACUGCGAGGAAGAUGACUGCGGGCCCUGCUUGUCUGCGGCAGGAGGAGAGCUGCGUGCGAGAAGAACCUGGCCACGAUCUGGGCCGUUGCCUUCGAUCUGGGCCGAGGCAAGCUAGCUGGCCCGCUGCUGCGGAAAGGUGCUGGGCCACGGGCGGAGCACAGCGUCGGGCCAGAAAGGAGAUGGCUGCUGCGAGGAAACAAAAGAAAAUGAACUGGGCUGCGACAGAGGAAAACUGGGCGUCGGCCAGAAAGAAGCUGCGUGCAGCUUGCUCUUGUUUCCGAACUAGAAACAGGAACUGACGGAAAGACAGAAAUCAAUUGGAGACUGAAACUGACGCCCCAGACUCUGAACUUCGAAAAAACAGGACAACCAGCCAACUGACAGAAAAAAAAAAGCUUAACAACCCAAAAGCAGUACACAACCACGAAACCAGGCCACAAGACUGAAAAAGCUUGAUAGGAACAUCUGGCGACUGAACCAAAAAACUACAGAACUGCAACUGAAGAACUAGAGAACAGAUAAAUAACUGAUUGAACUCUGAAACUGAAACACCAAAGAGCAGGAAGCUGACUGACGGAAAAUGCAAAACAGCAACCCAAGGUGAAACACAAAUUCUUCUUCAAGCAUUCAAACAAAGAGAUAUGCAACAGCAUGAAUGCUCAAUAAAAUCCUAUAUUUCAUUAAUUAAUUAGAAAAAAUGCUCAAAUGCCUAGAAAAAUGCAAAAGUGACCUUAUAUGCCUUAAACAAGCAAAUUCGUUUCUAGCGAUUUUUGGUAAAAUGCAAAAUUAGAGAUUUUGGGUGUUACAUCAUGUUGUGCUGAUAAGCAGCCUACUAUUCAGUAACACUUUCAUGUGGCAUGUUCAUGUUAGCUAGCUAGAAACACUGUGCUUUUAGCUUCAAAAUUAAAUUCAUGACAUGAUGGACAUUGACAAUGAAUUUCUUGAUUGCCGAGCUAUGUACACUGUAAUCACAUUGUGGGGCUGAUAAAAUAAGCAGCGUUGAGACACAUAACAAUUGAAUCUUAAGCUUCACACAGAAUCUGGACCAGUCAUCCUCAUUCCUGUCAUGCUGGAAAUGUCUUUGAUACAUUUCAAUCACAGGCAAUUGAAUUCGUACUGGGGAGGAUGGCAAUGGUGCAUGAAGAGAGAUCAAUGUGGCAAAUCUCACAUUGUUCAUUACCAGGUAUCUCCGAUUUCUGGUUAUUUUAAAUUUACCUUGACAUGUGACUUAUUGAGGUAUUGUAUUUCAUCUAAUGGUAGUUCUGAAUUUAUGGUAACCUUGGAUGGGGUUUGUCACUUUAUACACGCACGGACUUACAAAGGACAGCAAAUGAGUAUAUUUAGAGGGCUCCUGUCCAACCAUGGACUAUACUUAUGUACCCUUUUUUGACAUGGUAAUUUGAGGUUAAUGGAAAAGUAGCGAUAGUCGCCUCCAGCGAAGCUACCUUCUUCGAAAGCUCCGAGGCUGCUUUCUCGCUCUUAGCAAGCCGAUCCCUCGUAAUCAUCGAAGAGUAAGAGACCUACAGAUUUUAAAAACCAAGUUACCAAAAAUAACGAAGUAAAAGACAACACUCGCAAGACAAACCACCAAACUAUCUCAUAAUUGUACCUUCUUUACGAGGUUCGCCUCCAAGUUAAAGAGCUCUUCCAAGAUCAUUGACUUCACAGCUUGCUGAAAAUCUAUGCGCCAAAGGAUAUAGUCGUAAGCAUAAAAUAAAAAUUGGUAAAAACCAAGGACAGCAAAGCCAUCUACAAGCUGUUCUUACCCUCAUACUUUCGCACCUCAACGGCGAUCGGAACAACCUUCUCUCUAGCCUCGCCCUUAGACGCCACCACAAUCUUCCCGCCACACAAAUCCACAACCCCUCCUUUACCUUUGCCCUCUCCCGAAGUCGUCGUGCCCGCCUUCUCCACCCUUUUUGAACCGCCAACAUCUGCAUAGCGCUCGCAACCUUCACCUUCAGCCCCCCAGACCAAAGACAGGUUGUGAGGAUUAUAAACCCUACCUUCGGCGCAUGUAGCUAGAAUCUCCGUGCGCCCGCUCAAGCCCAGACACUCAUUCAGUCCCUGAAGCCCCGCCGGCAACCUCUCACCUACAUCAUAACAUUCAACUUUUAGCCUCACAUGAUCCUCACAACUAACCUUACCAACGCCCCCCAUAGUUUCUUCCAAGUCCUUCAAAAAUUUCGUUGAGGCCUCACCACAAUCAAAGAACCGUAGCAUCGAUAGAAACACCUCUACAUGCUUACCAGAUCUCACAGCUUCGGCACACCCACCCUUUGGAUCAGAUGAGAACGCAUCCACAAGCUUCGCCUUUUCGGUGGCAAACCCCCUCUCAAGUUUCCCAACAUCAGUCAAGAGAUGUUGCGCGCUCUUAAACUUCGAGCUUAUGGAAGGCACCGUGAUCUUGGUACCAGCUGCCGAAGACGCGUCAACCUUGGCACCCGUAACAGUAACAGGAGCAAAUCGAGGUUUCUUGGCGCCUCUUUUGAUCCGUGCGGCGGGCCCGGUGGAUGAAGGUGCAAGAGCUGGAACCUCCUUAGGAGGGCGCAUAGAGACAGGAACAACAUAUGCCGGAUUGCUCAAGUCGCCAGACGAAGCUGUCGACCACGAUGGCAACAUAGCAGACGAAGCCCCCGCGGUCAUUUCCUUCCUUUUUUGCGCCUCCAAAUUCAAGGUCUUUUGCUUCGCCUUAGCGGUCACUUGCAAUUCAAUAGUGAGCUUCACCAUGGGUACGAAGUCAAAUUUUGCCUUUUUCCUCUGCUCAAGACUAGCACCGCGACGGCGCCUCUUGCCCGUAACUUUGGGGUGAGGCAGAACCACAAUAUCAUACAAGUCAAAAAUCUAAGAUGAUGACAUUCCAUUUGUAUCCAUGAUUUAUAUUGUGUUCCUUGAAUAUCCAUUAAAGUCUACUUGAAUUGAUUUGCAAUUAUGUGAAUUGUAUGUGAAACUCUUUCCUUGUAUGGUUAUUCUAAAGUUGUCCCUAGUCGGAGUUCAUGUGAGGACACAUGAAUAUUAGACUAGCACAUGUAUUAGUUGAUGACUAUGUUUCACAAGUCAUGGACAUGAAGAUGUGGAACUAAUAAUGUGGGCACAUGUGGAGACACGUGCUAGGACUGACCCAACACGAGAAGUAGUUCUCUCUUUAUACAACAUAUACGCUUUGUCCUUAGACCUGAGAUUGUCGCAUGUACUCAAGAUGUGGAUCGACUUACUUAGGGGCUAUCAAAUUCUACGCCGUAACAGGGUAGUUAUAAAGGUAGCUUUCGGGUUUGUCAAGAAGCAUGCUAUGAGACAUGGUCAAUCAAGAUGGGAUUUGCCCCUCUCUGAUUGAGAGUGAUAUCUCUGGGCCCCUCGAGUGAUCGGAUCCGAAAAUGCAUGGCCAUGCUACAUACGAUUAAGAGUUAGCCUACAAAAGGAUUCCGAAUCAUAGGAUCGAGAAAGAGCGGUCGGCUUGAAGCUAGACCAAAUAUCGUGAGGCAAAGGGAAUAGCAUGUAUAUAAUGUUGUGAUGGUUCGUCUGAUAUGAUCUUCGUGUGCGUAUAGGAGUUGGCACGUCUUGCUAGAGGUCGCUACCGACUAUUGGGCCGAGUAGGAGUACUCAGGCCAUGUCUAUACGUAUCCGAACCCAUAGGGUCACACACUUAAGGGGCUGGAAGCCCAAUUCGGAUGUGAUCCGAAUUGGAUUAGGUUUAGAAGUACUAAUGGGCCUUGGACCUAGAGGCCCGUUAGGAACCUCUAUAAAUAGAGGGGUGGGGGCGCCCUAGGGUUUACACCUUUUUGGUGAAACACAUCUGCCGCGCCUCCCACGCCUUCGCCUGUUGCAACUCGCGGACCUAGCAGUCCGGCUUGCGACGCUUCCUCCCUGCACGUGUGGAUACCUUGGAAGUGUUGCUCCUGCAGCACUUGGACGAGCCGCCAACGAGCCACGACGAGCCACGAUGAGCCGACGAUGAGCCGCGGCACGAGGGGGAUCUUGCUGCACGUGGACGAGCUGCUGAGGAGCUGCUGGACGUCGAUGUGUUCGACUACGUACGACUACGCUGAUCGACUUCGCUGCAUCAACGCGAAUCUACAUCUUCCGCAUCAUUGCAUCGAGUGGUAAUCCCGUGAUCCUGAUACGGCAGUUUUCCUAGUUUACGCGGUAGAAAAUUUUGUUUUGUGCUAGUGUAGCCUAACUCAUAUCCCAACAACGUGUGCUAUAGGUCACGCAAGCCUGAAAAUGGCCACACCGGACACCGGGUACGAAAACAUGGGGGAUGGACCGAACAUUUGAAAAUGGCCUCCAUAUGUGUUUUCGGCUAUGAAAAUGUGUGUUAUAGGUCACAGAAGCUUGAAAACGGCCGCACCAGCCACUAGGGACGAAAACGUGGGGGAUGGACCAAAGACAUAAAAAAUAGCCUCCAGACGCGUGUUCGGCCAUGAAAACGUGUGGUAUAGGUCCUGGAAGGCCAAAAACAGCUACACCGGCCACCUGGGACGAAAAAGUUUGUGUAAGACCGAACACUUGAAAAUAGCCUCUGGACGCGUGUUCGGCUAUGAAAAGGUGUGUUAUAGGUCACACGAGCCCCAAAACAACCACAGCGAACACCAGCUACAAAAACAUGGGGGAUGGAUCGAAUAAUUGAAAAUGGCCUCCAGACGUUUGUUCGGCCAUGAAAUCGUGCGUUAUAGGUCGCGGGAGCCCGAAAACGGCCACACCGGCCACCGGGAAUGAAAAUGUGGGGGAUGGACCGAACAAUUAAAAAUGGCCUCCGGAUGUGUGUUCGGCCAUGAAAACGUAUGUUAUAGGUCACGGGAGCAUGAAAACGGCCGCACUGGCCACUGGGGACGAAACGUGGGGGAUGGACCGAAGACGUGAAAAUAGCCUCCAGACGCAUGUUCGGCCAUGAAAAUGUGUGCUAUAGGUCAUGCAAGGCCAAAAACAGCUGCACCAGCAACCGGGGACGAAACCAUGGCUGUCAAACCGAACGCUUGAAAAUCGCCUUCGGACGCGUGUUCGGAUAUGAAAACAUGUGUUGUAGGUCACGCGUGCCCGAAAACGUCCACAACGGACACCGGGUACAAAAACGUGGGGGAUGGAUCGAAUAACUGAAAAUGACCUCCGAACGCGUGUUCGGCCAUGAAAACGUGUGUUAUAGGUUGCGGGAGCCCAAAAAUGGCCACACCGGCCACCGAGGAUCAAAACGUGGGGGAUUGACCGAACAAUUAAAAAUGGCCUCCGAUUGUAUGUUCGGCCAUGAAAACGUGUGUUAUAGGUCAUGGGGGCCCAAAAAUGGCCGCACCAGCCACCAAGGACGAAAAUAUGGGAGAUGGACCAAAGACAUGAAAAUGGCCUCCAGAUGCAUGUUUGGACAAAAGUGUGUGCUAUAUGUCGUGCAAGGCCAAAAACAGCUACACCAGCCACCGGGACAAAAACGUGGGUGUUUGACUAAACAAGUGAAAAUGGCCUCCGGAAGCAUGUACGGCUAUGAAAAUGUGUGCUAUAGGUAAUGGAAGGCUAACAAAAGCUACACCGGCCACCGGGGACAAAAUCAUGGGUGUCAGACUGAACACUUCAAAAUGGCCUCCGGACGCGUGUCCGGCUAUCAAAACGUGUGUUAUAGGUCAUGCGAGCCCGAAAACAACCACACUGAACACCGGGUACAGAAACAUGGGGGAUGGACUGAAUAACUGAAAAUGGCCUCUAGACGCGUGUUCGGUCAUGAAAACAUGUGUUGUAGGAUGCGGGAGCCCGAAAACGGCCACACCGGCCACCAGGGCAUGGACCAAACAAUUGAAAAUGGCCUCCGGAUGUGUGUUCGGCCAUGAAAACGUGUGUUAUAGGUCACGGGAGCCCAAAAAUAGCCGCACCGACCACUGGGGAUGAAAUCGUGGGGGAUGGACCGAAGAUGUGAAAAUGGCCUCCAGAUGCGUGUUCGGCCAUGAAAACGUGCGCUAUAAGUCAUGUAAGGCUAAAAAUUGCUACACCGGGACUAAAGCAUCCCCCAUGAGUUACAAUAAAAGGAUUGUAUCCUCUACUCAGUCGGAUGUACUGUGUAGGUGAGAUGGUAAGGAAGCUAUGCGCGAGGUUUGAGGUUGUGGGUUGAAAUCCUACGCACCGCGCGCACACGCGCAUAUUUUGUGUGAAAAAUCAUGUGACUUGUGAUCGGCCAAGGAGAAGUGGGUGCAGCUGUGGCUUAAGUGGCUGAGGCACGCUGCCAUAGACAUCUCCGAUUUGCUCGAAGACUACCAAGACACUAGCAAUAACAAGAACUACUGCUCUUCCUAGCAGACUCUUUACAACCACUUUAAAGCUGUGCAUUUCUCAAUGUAAUUUCGUAGAAGGCAAUCGAUCCAACCAAGCGACUAAAUCAUUUGUUCUUGCCAAUGAUGUACAUCAGGUUUUCUAUAUGAAGGACAUGUCUAGCAAACCUAAGAUUUUAGAAGAAAAAGAAAAAUUAUGGGAGUCAAUAAUAAAUCAGGCCAAUCAGGAGAUUAUAGUAAGCUCGAUGGUAUGCCUCCAUUCGAUGUCGAAGUUGGCCCAAGCAUCAUGUUAGCCAAAGAUCAAAUGUUCGUGCAUUGCUACGGUAAAGAUCAAUUGUGUCUUUUAAACCCAUGGAAUUUUUUAUCUAUGUUUUUAUUACACUUAAUGGAUGUCUACACAUUUGCUAGAAAAUCAAAAUAAUUUUGACUUAAUUAUUUCUUUCAACUCAAAUACUCAUUAAAUUUCUACCUUUUUAUUUAAGCAAGAGAGUUGCUCAAAAAAUGGAUACGUAACCAUGUUGUAUCAUACAAAGCAACCACAUUUCACAUAUAGUCUGGCUUAGCAAACACCAUUGUUGUCUUAACAUAGUGUUCAUGAGUUAGUAGACAUGGAUCUAUUUCUAAUUGCAAGUAGUGCAGCGUACAACCAGCCUGCACCGCCGCAGCUCAAUAUGCGAUAAUUUUUUAUCUUCCCAUGUAAUUUUUCUACUCUAGUACAUAUUGAACUCCACAUAAAUGUCAUGUUCUUUCACGCCACAGACGGUUUCUAAAGUUUGGAACUAAAUAGAUAGCCAAAAAUUUUAAAAAAAUAUUUAUAUGGAUACAUGUAUGUUCUUUGCAAACUAACAAUAUUGUUUACAAUAUCAAAAGGAAUAUGGCUAUGAUCAUUGCCGCAUAUGGCAGGUGAUGGUAGAUGCCGUAUGGGGUUUCUUUAACUUAAUUGUAUAAUAAGCUGAAAUACAUUUUCUAUUUGCAAAUGAAUCAUAGCUGAAAGUGGUGGGAUUGUAGAACCGCCGGCCAUCGUGUCCUUGUAGGACCGCUGCACGAGCCUGUGAGCCACCAGCCACCAUGCGCCCAAGGGCCAUCACCACGCCAUAAGAGGAUGCUGUCUACCCGGUUUCGCGCGCCUGUGCUAGCUGCCUGAACCUGGGCCGCCGCCGGUCGCCUGCCCAGCCGCGCGUUGCGCCAGGGUUUUGCUGGUGACGACCAUGGCCUUCGCGAUCAAAUUAAAAAGUUAUCAACUGCAAAGUAUUAGGUCUCGUUGAGCUCUACAAUUUUGAUAUAAAGUUUCUAUUCAUCCGAGAUCAAAUAAAAAAUUUGAUACUCAAAGCAUAAAUCCAUUAAUCUAGUCUUGCUAAUCCUUACCACCAAAUAAAAAACUAGCAUGUGUUGUGUGUUUGUGACCCUAAACGAUCACAAAUGAAUAACUUAUGGGCCUUGCUAGCGCCCGGAUGUCCAGGCCGGGGCACUAGCAUCAGACCCACGAGUAGCCGUCCGAUCAGGUUCGACACCACUUCAGGAUCUGGCUUAAAAAGAAGUCCCACCGAAACAUUGUUCCAUGUUGCAUGAAGCAACCCACUACCGUCGCCAGGUCUAGAGCAAGCACCACCUUCAAAUGUGCUGCUCACCCUAGCUAAAUAGGGGCAUUAAAAUAUUUCUCGCAUAUCCUUCUCAAAUUAAACAAAAUCGCAACAUCUGAAAAUUUUUACAGAAAACCAUGAAACAUAUCGAUUAGAUAGAUGUAACAAGAUGGAAUAUGGUAUAUGCAACAUAUAGGUUCCGAAAAGCAGAUGAAAUAUUAUGUAAUGAUUCUUGAAACAGUCAAGAAAAAUAGAUGUAACAUCUAAAAUUAAGAAAAGAAGCUUUAUGCAAAUUGCAAAAAGCUGAAACAAGUGGUUGAAACAUUUCAAAUCACCAAAUGCCACAUUUGAAAUGACCAGAUGAAACAUCACGAAAUCAAUUGCAACAGUUGAAGAUGAAAACAUUCAAAUGCCUUGCCUUUCUCCAAAUUUGACCCUCCAAGCAUGAGUCCAGCCAUUUGCACAUUAGACCCUUGGGAGGAGCUCACCGGAGAACAACAAGACCGUGUUAUCCAACAAUUUUCAGAUCAAAUUGCAACAUAAAGAACAAAGCAUUGCAACAUCUGGCAUCACGAGCUACAACAGCAACCAGUUAGGAUCAGGAGAAAGAGGGCAAACACAAGCCUAACAAUGAGUUAUAUCCGGUUUAAACAAGGAUAAAAAUGAGUGUAUUUUACACUCAUCAUGUUGUCUUUUCGCAGCUGUACCGCCUUUAGCGUGUUGUAUUGUUCCUAACACCAAGUCUCCGAGGCCCGAAAAAAUAAGGAAAGUGGUAGCAGCUCAGAAAUCGACUAAGUUUCUUUCCCCCUUUGGCUUUCCUACUAGGAUUCGGAAUCCUCUUUCGUAUGACAAUCUUAAUGAUCUCCCAUAGUCCAAAACUCACAAAAACAUCAAAAAUCCACCGAGAAUAAAUUAAGUAAAAAAACAUGCACACACAGAUAAUAAUAGUAAUCAUGUUUCAUUAUGAUUGCUAAGGUCAGACACAAUACAUAAACAUAUUAGACUGAGUGACCCACCUCACCUCAGAGUAUGCACCAUGUCUGAGUGACCCACCUCACCUUGCCAGGACACUGGUCCUGCCCUCGUGGUUCACGCGCCCUCGUGGUUCAGCAGUGGUCAGUACACAAAUCUAGCUGCCAGUCGGAUCCAAGGGCAGGCAUUUGCAUUGUGGUUGUGUUUGAACAUGGAGAUGUCAUUAUUAUUGUCAGGCACCAUACAUCCUCUCUCAGUUUCACUCCGCCUCACACACGGAUAGCACACCAGGGACCCGACACCAUGCAUGCCGAUUUCAUAUUAUUAAUAUUUAAUUUUUUUAAUGGUUGUUGAAACUAUAUUGUUGAUAUUUUUAUACAUAAUUUACGACCUAAUUUGGAUAUAUUUUUGAAAUAUUCCGAAAUCUUAAAUUCACACGUCUAGAGAUACAGUUAGUCCAAUCUGAUGUUUCCGAUUAUAAAAAUGAACAUAAAGAGAUAGGAAGCGAGAGACGUGAGGGGGAAAGUUAAAUUAGGGCCUAAGGGGUGAAGUUAGGGUUCCAGGUGAGCUGUCAUCACUACGUGUUUUUAAUCGAAAUUGGAAUGUCAGCAAUCGUCAGAUCUUGAGCCAACAGUUGAGACUGCCUCGGAAUGGUAAUUAGGUCUGCGCGAGCUUGCAUUGUGGCCUUCCUUGAAACCUUGGACAUAGGUGUUAUAUUAUUAUGUUCUUGCCAGCACACAGCAGUGAAGGACGACACAGUUGAGAUGUGCAUCACAUUUUCUAUAUGAAGGAUAUGUUUAGCAAACCUAAGAUUUUAGAAUAAAAAGAAAAAUCAUGGGAGCCAAAGCGCCACAUAGUUCUUCCAGGUAAAAAAAAAUCAUCCACUGGACCAGCACAUAGUAACGAUCCAAAAAGUCCAUAUUAAGAUUUUUUGAUAGCAGAAAAAACAUAAAAUGUCUAAUAUUUGUAGUAUUAAAAGGAAAAAUAAUAUAUUCACGUGACCUUUUUCCCGUAGCAAGGCACCGGUACGUGGUCAGACUUAAUGCACGAUGCCUAAGCAUCCAUUGGGCCUACCCUCGUGUGGAUCACGCGCAACAGGACACGGCUCACAAGCUAUGAUGUGCAGCAGUCGCUCAGAUGGCUGAAAGGUACCCUUAAUUUGAAUGGUACCAUAUAUAUAUAUAUAUAUAUAUAUAUAGUAAACAAGACAAACCACCGUUGAUACUACUUUGCACUACUUGAUACAUAUAUCUCCACCAAAAGCGAGGCACGUGGGGAGGAGAGAUAUGUGGUUGAUGGUGCGGGCACGUGGCGAGUGCACCGUACGAAAAUUUUGCUCGUGUCGGACGACUGAUGUGAAGCAUUACCCAAUCUUAAUUAUCUCCCAUAAUCCAAAACUCACAAAAACAUCAAAAAUCCGCCGAGAAUAAAUUAAGUAAACCAUGCACACACAGAUAAUAAAAUUGCUAAUAAGGCCAGAGACAAUACAUAAACAUAUUAGACUGUUCAUGACACAUAUCACGGUGGAUAGUGUCUGUGUCCUUAUUACAAGCAAUGAGAGAUGCUUGUCACCACACACACGCGCACAGAUGCACAACAUACAUAUAGUUGAGACCAACAGAUGGAUCAACUAGAGGUCACCCCAUAUGGUGAACAAUUUAUUGGAGAUAAACAUUAACAUAACUUGGCCAUAGCUUGAAGCAUAGCAACAUAUGCCUAUGAACGGCGUUCAUGCUAUCAUUUUAGGCUUGUCCGCUUCUUCCAUCUUAGCAAGCACUUCCAUUUCUACCAUCUUAGAAGCAACUGUCAAAUUGAGAUAUGGAAAUCCCAUUAGCGCAUGAGUUAAUUUUGCAGUGAAAAUAGAGUACAAGAUAUCUUCAUGAUGUAAGUAACAUGCCUGAAGUUGUGAGAUGGGAAGUGAAGUCAACAAAUUACAUUAACGGAAAUGCAUGGAAGGCCACACAUACGUAUUAGUCCAUGAUAUGCUACAAAGCUUGUAUGUACAUAUAGCAAAUUAAAUGCAUUAAUUGAAUAGAGUGAGUUUAGUGAAUUUACCAGAAUCGUCCAGAAAACAUGGGAAACAGCAAGUGUUCUUGCAGACUGCGUCGGUGCCACCCACAGCAAUACAACCAAAACAACAUGCUUUUGCCCGAGCGGCUGCGCAGCAGCCGCACUCUGCCGCGGUGGCCGAGUUAGCAUUGAGGCUCAAGAUGACCAGGCACAUGAUCACCAUCAAAGCGGUGGUAGUCCUCUUUCCCUCCAUUGCCUCCUCUUGCUGCUACCUUCCUUGGUUACCUAGCUAAGUUUAUUGGUUUUGUGUUGAGAGGUGAUUCUUGCAUUGAAUGGACGUUGCCGCGGCUGCAAUUUAUAGGCAGCUGCGCUAUGUGAUGAUAUGGACAAGGUGCAAAUGGGUGGUCCUGAUAUGGAUAAGGUGCAUGCGAAUGGCUGUCUACUUGUAUAGUGGCGCUCCAAUGUACAUACGUAUGUAUCUUAUGCAUGUAUACAGUUGAUGGAUGUACAUGUUUGUUGCACAAAUUAUUCUGAACCAACUCUUCAUAACAGGUCUUUGUUACCAAGUAAUUUUACUUUUGCACGUUUCAGCCGAGAGGCAGAAGAGAAUAUUUUACAGAGAGGGCAGAGAAGGAGGUUGGCGGAGGCGCCGUGGUAGGGUUCCCCGUGUCGCCAAGAUUUUUGCAUUUUAGAUGUGUGUAUUGAUCACUUCGUCGUGCUCGCGGGGCCCAACUCCAGGUUGUACCCCAGCAGACCACGUUCUGUUUCUCUGCCUCCAAUGAGCAUGCAUGCCUCCACAAGGACCACAAGACUUAGUAAAAAAGCUAAACUUUGCAACACGAUGUAUACAGAACGUUUUGAAAUGUACUCUCGUUAGGCAUUCACCUCCUUAACAAUCACUGCGACUGUAAAAGAGGUACAUCGACGCUAGCUAAAUAAACCACUAUAAGAUUUAGCAAGAGAUCAUUUUAUACAAUCCUGUAACGAAACAAUUUGACAAUUAUAGUGUCCAUAUAUUUUGACAAAAAAACGUUUAAAUUAUAUAAGGAGGUGGGCCCGAAAACGGUUGGAUUACAUCGAGAACGUUUUGAAACAGUUGGCGGAGCAGGAUUCUGGCGUGGAGCAUCUACAUUGUCGCGCGCGCGGACUGCCGGAGUAGGCACGCUCGACUUGUCCCAUCGCCAGCUAAAUGAUUUAGUACCGGAUGGUCUCUAGUACCGGUUGGAGCUACCGUCCACCAGGAGCUUUUCUAGUUUGGAACUGGUACUAAUGCUAAUAUUAGUAUCAGGUCAAAAACAAUCGGUACUAAGGCUAGGGAUGACACGUCAUUUUUCUAGUAGUGUGUGCAAUUGGUUUUGUAAUUAGUCUAUAUUUAAUACUUCUAAUUAGUAUCUACACAUUUUAUGUGACAGGGACUGAACUUUAGUCCGUGGAACCAAACACCCCAUAAGUAUGUUUGGUGCUGUAAGGAUUUCGGUUUUAUUUAAUUUCCUAGGCAUUUAAAUUUCUUUCUAAAAUAAGUUAAUGAAUCAUAGGAUCUCAUUGUUGUAUUCAAGCUGGUGCAUUGAUUUUGCCUAUAAAACCCGCCGCGGUCUUCGCAGCCCCCAUCAAACCCUAGCGCCCUUGCCACAAGCUCAGCACCGCUGCCGCCCGAGCUCGAGCACUAGCACCCACCCAUCGCCGUUGCCUUCCCGUCGAUGGGAUCACCGCCCGGAGCUUCGCAUCGUGGUAAGGAAGCCGCCCGUGAAGAUCCCAUGUGCUCCUAUGCCCUCUACCGCGUCCCCGAGUUCCCGGAGUUGCUAGUCUCCCACCGAGCCGACUCUCCGAGCUUCACGUCACUGGUGCCGCUCCGAAGACCUAGUUCGGUUCGCCAUGCACCUCGCUUCAUCCUGAGCUAAACCCCAUAAUGAAUGGUGGUCGGAUGCUCGCCGCCACGGCGCGUCGUCUUUUCUGUCGCCCGUGCAUUGCCUAUCCCCUUCCAGCCGAUUGCAGCUGUCCGAUCGCAAACCGGUGGCCCUGAUCGGAUACCAAGGUCAAUACCGGUCGAACCGAGCCGUGCGCUGCUUUUGCAAGAAGGCCCCUGUUUUUCUCUCUUUUUGCACCUGAGGUCCUACGCAGUUCAAAAGUAAUAAGAUCUAGGUCCUUUUUCUUUUGUUUUAGCCCGUGUUCUUUUAUAAAAUCCCGCCCACUAUUCUGUUUGGUCUUUUGACGCGUUAGACCUUCUUUUUAUAUGUUUAAUUAGGUUUUAGGUCUCGAUUUCUUUAAGUUUAGCCCUUGAAAGUUUAGUUCUCUCGCAGUUAAGCCCCUGAACCUUGUUUAGCUCAUAUCUUAAGCGUUUUAAAUCCGUUUUAACAGAUUCUUGCGCCUAUAAGUUCAUGUUGACGCAUAGAUUAGUUGACUUAUACGAACCUUGCUGAUUCAGCUCCUUGAUUGUGCUUCAGAUCUCGCUAGGGAAGAAUAAUGGAUGGGCUUUGGUUGAGCUUGUAGAUCGACUUGCAGUUGCAGUGAAUGAGCAGAGGAUUGGCAGUGAAUAAGAUCAGGCCGCUGCCCUGCUUGGUAGGGAAAAUAUCUGCUUGCUACCAAGGCCUGUGACGCAUGGACCCCAUUGAGAGUGCAUUAUUGACAAGGACUUAAAGCCAAGGGCUCCACACCUGUCAUUGAUCAGCUGUCUGCUGGGCGCUGCAAGGAGGUAGUGCAUGUUUGACAUAAAGAAGCAGGUGGCCCAGGAUUUACGAAAAAUAAGGAUCUAUUUGAUACCCUUGCUUAUAUUUAGGGGCUAAAAGUUGCUUAUUUGAAGUUGCUUAUUUUUAAUCCUAGCUGUUUGAUUGCAUGGGCUAAAGAGCAUUGAAUGAGGUGGAUAUUGUCAUGUUUGCCUCUAAUGAUUGCUUCCCAUCACAUUUCUCCCCCCUCAUUCAACGAGGGAAGGAGGUGUAAAGUGCACCUUUUAGCCCCGAUAAGUAACCCUUGUGUUGUUUACGGGCUGAACAUAAGUAGCUAAAGUUUAGCUCCAAUAAACAAGAGUGUUUGGUAUUUUUGGGGUUAAAAGGGGCUAAACUUUAGCUGCUUAUGCAUAAGCAAGGCCAUCCAAAUAGGCCCUAAGUAUGUUUGGCGUUGUAAGUAGGUUUUAUUUAAUUUCCUAGGCAUUUAAAUUUCUUUCUAAAAUAAGUUAAUGAAUCAUAGGAGUUCAUUGUUGCAUUCACGCUGGUGCAUUGAUUUUGCCUACAAAACCUGCUGCCGUUUCCGCAGCUCCCAUCAAACCCUAGCACCCCCGCCACGAGCUCCAGCGCCGCUGCCGCCCGAGCUUGAGCACUAGCGCACACCCAUCGCCGUCGCCUUCCUAUCAAUGGGAUCACCGCCCGGAGCCCGUGUCAUGGUAAAGAAGCCGCCCGUGAAGAUCCCGUCCACUCUCGUGCCCUCUACCGCGUCCUCGAGUUCACCGGAGUUGCCAGUCUGCCACCCAGCCGCCUCUCCGAGCUUCAUGUUGUCGUUGCCACUCUAGCUGCCUCUCUGAAGACCUAGAUCGGUUUGCCGUGCACCCCGCUUCAUCCUGAGUUAAACCCCAUCAUGCCACGUCAUAGUAAGGAAGCUGCUCAUGAAGAUCCCGUGCGCUCCCGUGCCCUCUACCGCGUCCCCAAGUUCACUGGAGUUGCUAGUCCACCACCGAGCCGCCUCUCCGAGCUUCACUUCACAGUCGCUGCUCCAGCCACCACUCUGAAGACCUAGAUCAGUUCGCUGUGCACCCCACCUCAUCCUGAGCUAAACCCCAUGACGAACUGUGGUCGGAUGCUCAUUUUCGAGUGAAUUCCGGCGAGAUGGUCGCCCGCCGCCGCCAUCUCCAUCGCCCAUGCACCGCCUGUCCCCUUCCAGCCGAUGUCCGAUUGCAAACCGAUAGCCGAAAUCGGAUGUGGUCACCAGGAUUAAUACCAGUCAAACUAAGCCACGCGUGCCGCUUUUGCAAGAAGGCCCCUAUUUUUCCCUCUUUUUGCACUUGAGGUCCUAUGCAGUUCAAAAGUAAUUAGAUCAAGGUCCUUUUUCUUAUGUUUUAGCCCUAUUCUUUCAUAAAAUCCCGGCUGCCAUCCUGUUUGAAAUAGAUACGGUUAUAGAUAUGCAAACAUCUGCAUAUUUCCAACCGUAUCUCUUUCGAACGGGAGACGCCUAACUAGGUUACGUGACAUACGAACAUCAUACGGAUAGAGAGGGGUAGGAUGUCUCACCUUGCUAUCCUACAAAGUGACGACUCGAGGACAGUAAUGUAGCCUCUCCUUCAAAAAAAGAACAUACUACUAUCAAGUUAAAUUUUUGACAGCACCUCCCCUGCACGUGGAGGUUUCCAUAACCUGCAUCAAAUAAAACGGCACGAUGGCUGACAACCACAUCUACAGCACCAGAAUGGCACGAUGGCCGACUUCCACAUAAAGUUCUUAUACCUUAGAUUGCCAAGUCAAACAUCCUUUUCUAAUUUCUAAAACAAAAGCCCUCCCACCUCUCUAUCUUAUACUUUCCUAUUUACUAAUUGCUUUUGUAAUUUCUAAUUUCUAUUUCAUCCUACCACCUCUGUACCCUUUUCUCAUUUCUAAUUCCAAUUUUCUAACUUGAAGAGCAAAGAUUGAUUACUAGGAGGGGUGAGGGACGCCGGCCUAGAGAGGCGAGGGGACGUCCGGCGGCGGCGGGUGCGUCGGGGGUAGGAUGCCAGGGGCGGCUGCAGGGGCGCCGGGUUGGGGGCGGCCGGGAUCGAGGGCACCAGUAGCGGGGGCACCGGGCCGGGGGCGGCCGGCGGGGCGGGACGCCAGGGCCGGGGCGACGGGCGCCGGUGGCGAGGCCGCCCGGCCGGUGGUGGCCGGCGUGGCGCCUGGGCCGGGGGGGGGGGGCGGGCGGGGUGCGGCGCGGCGCGCCGGGGCAGGGCGCCGAGGCUGGGUGGUGGGGUACGGGGCGGCGGGCGGGGGGUGGGGGGAGGGUCGGCGGCGGGGCGCGGGGGCGGCCAGCGGCGACGGCGGAGGGCGUCGGUGGUGUUUCGGAAGUGAUACGGAGGGGGUAGAGAGAUUCGUUUUCGCGGCUGAGUGUUCGAGUCAGAAGGCCGUGCGGCUUAAGUCAGGUGGUUUGCCGAGUGCGCGCGAUCUGGCACUCGGCAAAGUCAGAAGUUUUGCCGAGUGUCAGAUCGCGGGCACUCGGCAACUGCAGCUUUUGUCGAGUGCCCUGGAUUCGGCACUCGGCAAAGUGAAGUUUUAAUUUUUUUUAAAAAAAUUUAAUCGGAACACGGGCGUGCCAGCGGGCCCGUGACAUACUUUGCCGAGUGUGUAGCAAAAACACUCGGCAAAAUAUUAUCUUUACCGAGUGUUUUCGCUAGGCACUCGGCAAAGUACACUUAUAUUUCAUGUACACUUUUUCAAUAACGUGUUUUACUAACCUUUUUCUGAUAUACUUGGGAAAAACCUUAUCAAAUUCACUCAACAAUGGAUAUAUGGUUUUUCUACUGACAUUAUUCCAUUAUUUCAUUCAGUUAUAGCUCAAAUUGAAUUUAUAUCUAUUAAAAAUCAAUAAUUGCAUUUAAUAAAUAAAAAAUACCAAACGGAUCUGAAAAAUUUCCAAAAUUUGACAUGAACCAAUCUAUGUUGUAUGUUGCCUGUACAAAAAGCUUUGAAGUCAAACCCCAAUUCAAGUGUCACUUGGACUCCAAAUCUUAUCGGAUCCUUUCUAACUUCUAUGAAUCCUUUCGGGAGAUGAGUCGGUUUGUAAGCAUCAUAUGUCAUAAAUUGGGCGAAACCUUCUCAAUUUUUUACCACAGCCUCCACAUAUAAUAUCAUGACACCUUGACAAAUCUUGUGAUUUUCAGACUUCGUUUGCUUUUUUUAGAAUUUAACAACCAUUCAACCACAUGUUCGUGAUCGUGUUUUCUAAAAAAAUGUUCAAAAUUUCUUUUCAUUUCCUGGUUGAGACCUCAAUCCGGAUUGAAUAAUAUGAAUAUGAUUUUUUCACUGAUUUUAAUCCAUUAUUUAAAUCACUUGCAGUUAAAUUUGACUUAAAUAAACAAAUUCCUAUUAAUGCUAUCAAUUCAUUAAAAAUAGCAAACAGAGAAAAAAUAGACCAACUUUUAAGAUGGAUUACCAAAUGUCAUAUGUGGGGAGUAGAAAAAGUGUGGAGAGCAGAGGUGGAAAAAAAAGUUUUGCCUUUGCCAAGUGCCUACACAAACACUCAACAAACUUUGCGGAGUGCCUAUUGAAAACACUCAGCGAACUUCUGAGUUUGCCGAGUGUCUGGAGGGAGCACUCGGCAACCUACUUAUUUGCCGAGUGUCCGCGUCGGACACUCAGCAAAGUACUAACGGCUGGCACACUCCCCUAACGGACGGCGCACGUGCAAGCCAUGUGCUGGAGAUUUAUCGAGUGUCAAAUCGUUGCCGAGUGUCGUGUGGAUGUUUGCCGAGUGUCUUAUUUGUGACACUCGGCAAAGCUAUUGUUUGCCGAGUGUAUUAUUUAUGCCGAGUGUCUUCCAGUAUACACUCGGCAAAUGAUGUCUUUGCCGAGUGCUCGACAUAAAGCACUCGGCAAAAAUUUUACACUCGGCAACAUUCCUGUUUCCGGUAGUGAGUGACCCGGGACUAAAGACCCCCGUUGUCUCUGAUUGCUUUAUUCCGGAUGGAUUUUCAGGAGAUUUGCUCCCUACCAAUAGGGACUAAAGGCAAGUUUUCCACUUAUAGCAAACCAGUUAGCCCAUUGUUGAUGGAACGCAUCACUAGAAACAGCUCGGGAUCCACUUGUCCAAUAAUCGAGAGGGCCUAUAUAUGGACCACGUGUGCGGAUCCCUAAUUAGGAAAAAAGAAUAAUGGAGUAGGACAUCUCCAUGCUCACCUAGUAGCCGCUGCUAGCUUGUGCGUGUGGAACACGAGUGCCGGCCCAGUUGGCGCUAAGACAUCGUACGUGCAUUAAGGCUACGAUCUCUUUCUUCUAACUCAUGCUUGUGCUAUUAUACAUUAUUGCAUGAUCAUCAAGAUAAGAUCGUAUAGUGACUGAGUGAGACAUGUAUGUACUAACAUGCAUUUAAGCCUCGAACUGUGUGUUGUUACGUGAGCUGCCUCCUCACCUCGCCUCUGAAUUAUUGAACCGUUUCCAACAGUGUUGGUCUCAAAUAAAUUUGACACCAAACAGAUUUAUGAAGAAGAGAGAAUAAUACUUGGAAUUGGAAAAAGUUUAUCUCUCUUUACAAUGGAGUAGGGCUCCCUUUUAUAGUGACCCAUAAGCCACUUUACAUUUGGAAAAUGUCCUUCCUCAACCACUACAUUAAUUCCUAGGAUAUGCUGUACAUAAAGGUCAUUUGAGGUAACGUGUACAAAUGAACUCUUCCACAUGGUCACGUUUCUCAUGCCUCCUGUUUUCCAACCUCGAGACAUCAUCUUCACGCCAAGUUGAUCAUCUAGCCUCGAGGCUCCAUCCACGAUCCAGAAUGAACGUCCAGGCUUGAGGCUCCUUCUUCGUUAAGCUUUGUUGAGAACUCAUAACCUCACAUAGUUCUCCUCCGAGUAUUGUUCCCGACUCAGAACACUCGAGGUUUAGCUCAGUUGGAGUUUAGCUAUUACUGUUGCUAGUCACCAGCCUCGAGCCCCUCCAGAAGCAAGGUGAUGCGAGGGUACGAGUUUUACUAUUAAAGGUGUUUCCAUAGAAUGUGCGAGGUUAAAGCACUUGCAGCAAAAGCGUGGAGCUGCUUUCAACCAGAGUGCAAUAAUGCAGCCGUGCCCAUCUUGGUCUUGGUCUCCGCCUGAACUAUAGCAGAUGCUGGCAGCGGUAGCAGGGUGGUCCAUUAUAUCUAUGGAUGGCAAUGGUCGGAUUCGGAUGGAAUCGAAUUCGAAUAGCACUUUUUACCACAUACUAAUUCAAAUCCGAAUUCGGAUUCGGAUGUUCUCGAAUGCGAAUGCAAAAUGGAUGGUUCGAAUUCGAAUACUUAGCGGAUUUUUGCAUAAUAUUAAUCGAAUAGAAUUCAUUAAAUUUAGCCAAGAAAUUAAAUUUUCUGAAAUUAAAUACUUUCCCUUCGCCCCAGCGGCGGCCUAACUCCCAGGACGGUGGCGUGCGGGGCCCGAGCAUCCCUGGCCUCUAGUGGCGUGGCGGGGCGGCAUCCAGCAGCAGCGGCGGGGCUCGGCCUCCGGUGGCGCGCGGCCAGCCCGACCUACCCGGUCAGAGGUGGCGCAGCGGUGCGCGGGCCUCCCCGACCAGAGCCGGUGGGGAGCGGUGCGCGGGGAGGACCUCCCCAGCCGGAGGUAGCAGGGCGCGACCUCCCCGGCCGGAGGUGGCUCCCUGUGGGGGCGCGGCCGUGACAGCUAGCGAGGCAAUAAUUGCUUCCGUACGCAGCAAUAAUUGCUUGUGCGACACCGUGUUAUUACUCUGGUACAGUACUCCCUCCGUUGCAGUACACUGGUCCAGGCGUCAGGACACUGCUCCUGCCCUCGUGGUUCACGUGCAUCAGGCCAGCAGACAAGCUAUGAUGUUGCCAACAGUGUUUGUUUGAACAUGGAGAUGUCAUUGUGAUUGUCAGGGACCCGACACCAUGCAUGCCGAUUUCAUAUUCUUAAUAUUUAUUUUUUUAAUGGUUGUUGAAACUAUAUAGUUACUCCAAUAUCACGUUUCCGAUUAUAAAAAUUAACAUAAAGAGAUCGGAAGGGAGAGCCCGCAUAAUGAAGCCGACGCGUAUAAUAAGCACUAGAGCCGGCAUUUAUACAAACGGGUACGCAUAGUAAAAACUAGAAUUUAUAAAUAAAUGAAGAUAUUCAAAUAUCUGGCUUACUUUUUUCAUUAAUUUUGCAUGAAUAAGGGAUGAUUCAUUAAUCAUUAUUGAACAAAUUGGCACACAUGCUUCGUGCCCGCGUUGUGAGCAUUAUGCGAUGCCACUGAGCUGCACCACCACGGUAGAGGGCCUGUUUGCGAUGCCACCGAGCUGCACCACCACGGCAGAGGGUCUGUUUGGGAAGGGGAAGUUAAAGUUUAACACCCCCCAUUUAACACCUUUUUAACAAAAUGGCUGCUAAACACUUGUGUUAAAAGAGUAGUGUUAAAAUUUAACACCUCUCUUUUCAUAAACACAUGGAGGGGGUGUUAAAAUUUGCUAAAUGUGUUAAAAGUGGUCCCCUCCCCACUUAUUCCUUGGUUGCCCCCCUCUCUCUCCUCCUCUCUCUCCUACCCGCCGCAUUUAAGAGCAUUAUUGAGGGGUAAUGCAGUCCUUUUCCAACAAAAGUGUUAAACUUUAACAACCCUUCCCAAACAUGCCACAAGCAACACCACCGGCUGACUGUGCUAGCGGGGAGCACCCUCACCGCCUGCCCGUGGGGACUUCUUCUGCCGGCCAUCGUGUCUUUGUAGGACCGCCGCGUGAGCCUAUGAGCCACCGGUGGCCGUGCGCCCAAGGGCCAUCACCAUGCCACCUGAGGAUGCUGUCUACCCGGUGCCGCGUGCCUCUGCUAGCUGCUUGCACCUGGGCCGCCGCUGGUCGCCUGCACAGCCACGCGUUACAGCCGCCCCCCUGCGCUGGGCCACCCCAUUUCGUGUUGGAAGAACUGCCACAGUCUCGCGCACUGGGGUUUUGCUAGUGACGACCAUAGCCUCCAAGAUCAAAUGAAAAAGUUGGUACUCAAAACAUACAUCCAUUAAUCUAGUCGUGCUAAUCCUUACCACCAAAUAAAAACUAGCAUGUGUUGUGUUUUUGUGACCCUAAACGAUCACAAAUGAAUAACUUAUGGGCGUUGCUAGCCUAUAAGUUAUGGGCGUUUGUGACCCUAGUCGCGCCGGGGUCUUGCUGGUGACAACCAUGGUCUUCGCGAUAAAGUAUUAAGUCUCAUCGAGUUCUACAAUUUUGAUAUAAAAUUUCUAUUCAUCCGAGAUCAAAUGAAAAACAAAUGAAAAAAUCCGAAGUAUUAGGCUUCAUCGAGCUCUACAAUUUUGAUAUAAAAUUUCUAUUCAUCCGAGAUCAAAUGAAAAAAUCCGAGAUCAAAUGAAAAGUUGGAACUCAAAACAUACAUCCAUUAAUCUUGAUAUAAAAUUUCUAUUCAUCCGACAUCAAAUGAAAAAGUUGGUACUCAAAAUAUACAUCCUUUAAUCUAGUCGUGCUAAUCCUUACCACCAAAUAAAAAAACUAGCAUGUGUUGUGUGUUUCUGACCGUAAACGAUCACAAAUGAAUAACUUAUGGGUGUUGCUAGCGUCCCGGACGCUAGCAUCGGACGCAUGAGCAGCCGUCCGAUCGGGUCCGACACCACUUCACGAUCUGUCUUAAAAAAAAGUCCCACCGAAACAUUGUUCCAUGUUGCAUGAAAUACCCCACUAUCCAUCGCCAGGUCUACAGCAAGCACCACCUUCCAAUCUGCUGCUCACCCAAGCUAAAUAGGGGCAUUAAAAUUGCAGAAAUAUGUCACAUAUCCUUGUCAAAUUAAACUAAAUCGCAACAUCCGAAAAUUUCUUACACAAAACCAUGAAACAUAUCGAUUAGAUAGGUGUAACAAGAUGGAAUAUGGUAUCCAACAUAUAGAUUCCGAAAAACAGAUGAAACAUUAUGUAACGAUUGUUGAAACAGUCGAGAAAUAUAGAUGUAACGAUUAAAAUUUAGAAAAGAAGCUUUAUGCAAAUUGCAAAAAGCUGAAAUAAGUGGUUGAAACAUUUCGAAUCACCAAAUGCCACAUUUGAAAUGGCUACAUGAAACAUCACGAAAUCAAUUGCAACAGUUGAAGAUGAAAACAUUCAAAUGCCUUGCCUUUCUCCAGAUUUGACCCUCCAAGCAUGAGUCCAGCCAUUUGCACAUUAGACCCUUGGGAGGAGCUCACCGGAGAACAACAAGACCGUGUUCUCCAACAAUUUUCUGAUCAAAUUGCAACAGACAAAACAAAGCAUUGCAACAUCUGGCAUCACGAGCUACAACAUCAACAAGUUAGGAUCAGGAGAAAGAGGGAAAACACAAGCCUAACAACCCCAAGACAAAACUGAUGUACUCAUCAUACAUCACGGCUUGCCGUGCACAGAGAUGAAGGCCGCCAAGCUCAAUCGAGACAGAGACGACGUGAUAGUGCUCCAGAUCGACGGUCCCCAUCAAUUGUUGCGUACACUGCCAAAAGCAAUGGAAGAAGAAGGGUCGUCCCUGCUCGACCUCCGUAGAUGAGCGCAGAUUGGGGGAAACCGUAUAGAGUGCCGCUGACAGCACAGGCGAGGGGGCUCAGGCUUGAUUCAGGGUGAGGGUAGCGGGUAGCAUGAGGAGACAGUCAGGUUUCAUAGGAGAGAGGCGGAGUAGAGAGCUCUGGUGACUCGGUGAGGAGGGUGCGGCACGGAGAAAGGUGUGUAGCUGAAGGAGCUACAUGGUUGGGGCGAGGCGAGCGUAGAGACUAGAGAGGGAAAAAAAGCAUGGGGAGGAGACGAUAUGUGGUUGAUGGUGCGGGCACGUGGUGAGCGCACCGUAUGAAAAUUUUGCUCGCGUCGGAUGACUGAUGUGAAGCAUUACCCAAUCUUAAUUAUCUCCCAUAAUCCAAAACUCACAAAAACAUCAAAAAUCCGCCGAGAAUAAAUUAAGUAAACCAUGCACACACAGAUAAUAAAAUUGCUAAUAAGGCCAGAGAUAAUACAUGAACAUAUUAGACUGUUCAUGACACAUAUCACGGUGGAUAGUGUCUGUGUCCUUAUUACAAGCAAUGAGAGAUGCUUGUCACCACACACACGCGCACAGAUGCAUGACAUACAUAUAGUUGAGACCAACAGAUGGAUCAACUAGAGGUCACCCCAUAUGGUGAACAAUUUAUUGGAGAUAAACAUUAACAUAACUUGGCCAUAGCUUGAAGCAUAGCAACAUAUGCCUAUGAAUGGCGUUCAUGCUAUCGUUUUAGGCUUGUCCAGCUUCUUUCAUCUUAGCAAGCACUUCCAUUUCUACCAUCUUAGCAGCAACUGUCAAAUUGAGAUAUGGAAAUCCCAUUAGCGCAUGAUUAAUUUUGCAGUGGAAAUAGAGUGCAAGAUAUCUUCAUGAUGUAAAUAACAUGCCUGAAGUUGUGAGAUGGGAAGUGAAGUCAACAAAUUACAUUAACGGAAAUGCAUGGAAGGCCACACAUACGUAUUAGUCCAUAAUACGCUACAAAGCUUGUAUGUACAUAUAGCAAAUUAAAUGCAUUAAUUGAAUAGAGUGAGUUUAGUGAAUUUACCAGAAUCGUCCAGAAAACAUGGGAAACAGCAAGUGUGCUUGCAGACUGUGUCGGAGCCACCCACACGAAUACAAAGCUGACAACAUGCUUGUGCCUCGUGGGAUACGCAGCAGCCGCACUGUGCCGCGGUGGCCGAGUUAACAUUGAGGCUCAAGAUGAACAGGCACAUGAUCACCAUCAAAG
rnacentral:lncRNA from 1 species